UCUGGGACAAGCCCUGGAAACGGGGUCUAAUACCGGAUAACACUCCUCUGGGCAUCCAGGGGGGUUGAAAGCUCCGGCGGUGAAGGAUGAGCCCGCGGCCUAUCAGCUUGUUGGUGAGGUAGUGGCUCACCAAGGCGACGACGGGUAGCCGGCCUGAGAGGGCGACCGGCCACACUGGGACUGAGACACGGCCCAGACUCCUACGGGAGGCAGCAGUGGGGAAUAUUGCACAAUGGGCGAAAGCCUGAUGCAGCGACGCCGCGUGAGGGAUGACGGCCUUCGGGUUGUAAACCUCUUUCAGCAGGGAAGAAGCGAAAGUGACGGUACCUGCAGAAGAAGCGCCGGCUAACUACGUGCCAGCAGCCGCGGUAAUACGUAGGGCGCAAGCGUUGUCCGGAAUUAUUGGGCGUAAAGAGCUCGUAGGCGGCUUGUCGCGUCGGUUGUGAAAGCCCGGGGCUUAACCCCGGGUCUGCAGUCGAUACGGGCAGGCUAGAGUGUGGUAGGGGAGAUCGGAAUUCCUGGUGUAGCGGUGAAAUGCGCAGAUAUCAGGAGGAACACCGGUGGCGAAGGCGGAUCUCUGGGCCAUUACUGACGCUGAGGAGCGAAAGCGUGGGGAGCGAACAGGAUUAGAUACCCUGGUAGUCCACGCCGUAAACGGUGGGAACUAGGUGUUGGCGACAUUCCACGUCGUCGGUGCCGCAGCUAACGCAUUAAGUUCCCCGCCUGG
rnacentral:rRNA from 1 species